CCGAAGAUGACGAUGCUUUUACAUAGAAGACAACCAACACAGCCUGCUAUUCAGCACACAUUUGAGCGUUAUGCAGAGAGGAAACUGCAGCAGACCACCCACUCCUGCACGUCUGAAACGGGGUCCAGAGAGGGUACUGGAGGUCAUGAUGUGGACACUGGACAGGCGAUGGUGGUCUGACAGCGGAUCCCCAAACCACACUGGCAUAACUCACUCUUCCAGAGCCAGAGCGUCGUCCAGGACAGGCAUGAGAGCGGAGCCGAAGCCAACAAAACUAAACAGUGCUUCGGGUCAUAAGCUAGCAGAUGUUCAAUGGCCGACUACAGUCCAAAACAUUGCACGGAGCCACAGCAUGGAAAAAGAUUUGAGCAGGCCCACCCAUGUCUACCUCACGCCCUUUGGCCCCGAUCCUGCGAGAUGAGUUUUCCUCACUGCUUCUUCAGUAUGAUCCUGCUCCACUGUGUCCUGAGAGGAAAGGUCAGGGAAAGUCACAACACUCACACCAUUUUCAUAGGUGCAUAUAAAUUGUUAUAAGCAUUUAUUCCUCUGAAUUCCUAAAAGGUCAUUUUAAAGCAAAAAAGAGAAAAUAACGUUAUAAAACACUGACUGACGAAACAACCAUUUCUAAC